rnacentral:rRNA from 20 species
AUCAGCGUCAGUAACAACGUAAUUAAUUACAACUUUCAACAACGGAUCUCUUGGUUCUGGCAUCGAUGAAGAACGCAGCGAAAUGCGAUACGUAGUGUGAAUUGCAGAAUUCAGUGAAUCAUCGAAUCUUUGAACGCACAUUGCGCCCUUUGGUAUUCCAAAGGGCAUGCCUGUUCGAGCGUCAUUUGUACCCUCAAGCUUUGCUUGGUGUUGGGCGUCUUUUGUCUCCAGUUCGCUGGAGACUCGCCUUAAAGUCAUUGGCAGCC